rnacentral:lncRNA from 1 species
AAAUUGAGAUACCGAAAUUGAAAGAUGCCAAAGUCAUAUGCAUCCUCGUAACAAGUCUUUUAAACACUUUACAUCAUCUUUUUGAAUAUUCAAAGAGAACAUUCUAUUUUUUGACAUUUUCACCUUCAUAAUUAAGUUUCUUUUGUCAUCUCUUAUAAAAGGACUAUGAUCUUUCAUGUGAAUAUUAUAGCCUUUUUGUAAGAGUUGACCUAAGCUCAAGAUGUUUCUUUUUAUAUUGGGCGUAGAGUAAACAUUUUAAAUAAAUUGAUGUCUUCCAUUUUUUUUAAACAAUUAAGGCUUUUAUCUCUCCUUUUCACUAUUCUUUGGAAUCAUCUCUGAAUGAUACAUUGCUAUUUAAUGAUUCAUCUAGCUCCAUGAACACAUUUUUUCUUCCAUAUUUAUGAUUGCUCGCACUAGUAUCAAGAUACUAGGCACUUGUGACCUCUAUAAUUGUCCUAGUAUGCUAGUAGUAUUGUUUUAUUCUCUUCAGUCUUCUCUUCCAUAUAAUUGUUCUUCUCCUCAACUUUAUUAUUGGGAGUCUUAACAUUCAAAAGCAUAAUGGCCAAACUUUUAGCAAUUGUAGCACUAUACUUAGGAUUUGUCAUACCUCAAUCUUGGGUUGCCUCUUCCUCAUAUUCUGAUUGAGCAUUCUCCUCUUUCAUAACUAGAGUUAUUGGUGUUGAAAUUCCUGUCUAGUCCUUGACCACAACCUCUACCUUAUCCUUAGCCUCUAACUUGGACAUAUUGGUUUUUCCUGUUGACGGAGCUUUCUUCUCUCUUCUUCGAAUUGAUUUCCAUCUUGAGGAGUUGUUCUUCAAUCCCAUGCUUCUUCUUUCAUAUAUUUUUUGUAGGCUUGCAACCUUUCUUGAAGUUGCUCAUCGUUUCAUAGCAACAAUCACAACUUGGGUAAAAUAAUCCGAAAUAGAUUUAGAUACCUUCAUAUGAAAAGAUUCAAAUUCUUUUUUUAAUAUUUGGAGAUGAACUUUCUUAACUUAUUCAUCUCCUUUGUAAGAGGUCUGUAACUUAUCCCAUACUUUUUUUAAGGAGGUAGCGUUGAAAAAUCUGUUCAAAAGCAUCUUUAUUUAAUGUUUGAAAGAUGAAAUAUUUUUCUUUCUUCUCUUUCAUUUUCAAGUCUUUCAAAUUCUUCUUUUGUGUCGCAAUUAAAGUAACUUCAUCUUCUAGUACAGUAAAACAUUUCUCUACAACUUCACAUACAUCACGUGCACCUAUACAUCACGUGCACCUAAUAGAGCCAUCAUUUUGAUACUCCAUUUUGAUCCCUUUAAUUGUGGAUCAUGGAACAACACAUUCCAUAACUCACAAAUUAAGUGAGAAUUUGGAGAUUAUGAAUGCACGUAUAGAUCCAUAACAUCAAAAACUUUAGGAGAGAUUUAGAGCAAAAAAUUAAAUUUUUUUGUGAAAGUUGACUCUCAAAGUCAAUGGUCAAUUGUUGACCGGUCAACAUCUUAGCAUGGUCAAUGGCUCGGUGAUGUAGUCAACUAGAUGCGGCUUAUGGAAAAGAAAUUUAUCUAAUUGGUGUUUAUGUACAGGAUGGGAUGUGAAAUUUAACCCAAAAAAAAAAAAAACUUUUGACACUUUUACUGAAAUUUGAAUUAUAUAAAAGGACAUAAAUGUGUAUGUGAAGGAUUCAAAAGUUGCUUAUUUAAAUUCUAAUUAGGUAAAGGGCUAAAAAAUUAGUUUAUCAUUUACGCACCUCCUAACUUUACAAGUAACAAAAUAAAUUGAAAAAUUAACAUUUCACAAAUAAAUUAUUCAAGAAUUCCUACUUCCACAUUAAUAUCAAAGAAACCUUAUUUUCAUUUAACAUAGUAAGAAAUUAAUCGGAAAAAUGACAAAAAAAAAAAAACAAGAGAGAAGAAAUAUAAUUAACAAUUAACAACUCUUUCAUUCAAAAUAAGUAUGUAUUGACACAAGCAAACAACAUAUACAUCUGACUCACAACCUAUGGAUUGUUAUAUGCUCUAAACACAAAACUUAAAGUCAAAUAUACACAUGCUAUAAUUAAAAAAGUUGACAAUGCAAGCUCCCAGUAGAGCAGCAUUGUAGUCAAAACAUUGGAAUCCCAGCCACCGUUUGAUUCAUUUCCAAAGGCCUGGAUGACAGCGAAGAGAAUCAACUACAAAAUUUGACAGACUUUCCAUGGAAGUGAAUCUGGUAUAUCGCUAAGUCGAUGAUGGCACGAUUACUCAAAUAAAUUUAUUGUUUCUCUCAAUAUUGGGAUGUUUCUUGAGAUCGAUGGAUUUUGCUCCUUGUAAGGCACAUUAAUCUUUAGUGAUAAAUGUCAAAUUUGGUAGAGCAAAUGACAGAAGUUCUUAUGCCAUGUCUAUUUUGUAAAUCUUUGAUAGAAUUUUGUGUAUUCUGGGGAAAAGAUGGAGCAAGUAAAUUGCUCUAGAAAUUUUUCUUUGCUUUGUGUGGAGAAUAGGUGACUGCGAAUUUUGAUUUUAUAUUGAAUUUAAAAGCUUAAUGUCAUAAAUAUUAGAUUUGAAGAAUCUAUCUCUCAGAUUUCCUCCAUUAAAUUAAACUUUGGGAAAAGAUAUAGCGGCGAUACUGCAUCGUAAGAUAUGAUAAAACACCAAGUAAAAUGAUUCAAGAAAGUAGAAAUUGGUAACUAAUUUCAAAAGUUGAGUUUAAGGAAAAGAUUAAUUAGCCUCUUGGGUGUAGCUUGGCUGCUUGUAAAUAUAGACCUGUGGUCACCUAAAUUUGAAUAAUAGGAAGAAAAAUUGGUAUUUAGAGGGUGAGAUUUCUCAUCCAUCAUCCCCAUCUAAGCCUUUAAGCAAAUAGUAUUUUGUAAUAUUAUUUAAUUAGAGUGAUGAUAUAGCCACAAACUCUUGUACAAAUGGAUGCGGUAUUAAUUCAUUGGUUGAAUGAA